AAGCACUCAAAGGAAGGAAUCUAGUUCUGGGUGGGGACAUGCGUGCUGACUCCCCUGGACACAGUGCAAAGUAUGGAACAUACUCGAUGAUGGACCUUAGAGCAAACAAGAUUAUGGACAUUCAGCUCAUUCAGAGCAAUGAAGUCGGCAACAGUCAGCGGAUGGAGAAGGAGGGCUUUGAGAGAAGUCUGAGACAACUAGAGCAGAGAGGAGUGACUGUGCACAUGAUUGUAACUGAUAGACAUCCUGGUGUGAUGAAGUUCAUCAGAGAAAAUAGGCCCAAUAUUUUGCACAGAUAUGAUGCAUGGCACAUGGCAAAAGGUGUUGGCAAGAAAAUUGAUGAGCUUGCAAAACAGAGAAUCUGCAAAGAGGUUGGCCCGUGGAAAAAAAGCAUUGUGAAUCACCUAUACUGAUGUGGAGCCUCAUCAUCAACAGGAAAAGAAAUCGUGGCAAAAUGGAGAUCUGUUGUCAACCAUGUACAAGACAUACAUGAGCAUGAAGGGGAAUUCCAAAGAUGCCAGCAUCCUCCUCUUGUUGGUGACCAGGCAAGACUGUGGCUUAAACCAAGUACUGCUGCAUGCGAAAAGCUAACACAGGUCAUCUUGGCACCCAAGUUGCUGAAAGACUUGGAGAACCUGAGUUCUAACUACCAGACGUCUGGACUGGAGUCUUAUCACAGCCUGAUCCUCAGGUUUGCACCAAAAAGCGUGGCAUUCUCUUUUGUGGGGAUGUUGUGCCGUACUCAACUUGCUGCCAUGCACUACAACGAAAACAGUGGUAGACAACAAGCAACAACAGCUUCAGGGGAGCUCCGAUGGCACAUACAGUACCCCCGCUACAGAAGAGGAG